GUAGACACAUUCCAGCCAAUCAGCAGCAGACCCUCCCUCCCAGACCCUCCCACCUCCUGGACAGCAUCCAUUUUGAAGCUGCAUUCUUAGUGAGCUGUCCAGGAGGUGGGAGGGUCUGGGAGGGAGGGUCUGCUGCUGAUUGGCUGGAAUGUGUCUG